GACGAACGCUGGCGGCGUGCUUAACACAUGCAAGUCGAACGGAAAGGCCUCUUUCGGGGGGUACUCGAGUGGCGAACGGGUGAGUAACACGUGAGUAACCUGCCCUUGACUUUGGGAUAACUUCAGGAAACUGGGGCUAAUACCGGAUAGGAGCUCCUGCUGCAUGGUGGGGGUUGGAAAGUUUCGGCGGUUGGGGAUGGACUCGCGGCUUAUCAGCUUGUUGGUGGGGUAGUGGCUUACCAAGGCUUUGACGGGUAGCCGGCCUGAGAGGGUGACCGGCCACAUUGGGACUGAGGUACGGCCCAGACUCCUACGGGAGGCAGCAGUGGGGAAUAUUGCACAAUGGGUGGAAGCCUGAUGCAGCAACGCCGUGUGCGGGAUGACGGCCUUCGGGUUGUAAACCGCUUUCGCCUGUGACGAAGCGUGAGUGACGGUAAUGGGUAAAGAAGCACCGGCUAACUACGUG
rnacentral:rRNA from 1 species